CGGUAACAUUUCUAGCUUGCUAGAAGAUGACGAGUGGCGGACGGGUGAGUAAUACUUAGGAAUAUGCCUUUGUGUGGGGGAUAACUAUUGGAAACGAUAGCUAAUACCGCAUAACGUCUUUGGACCAAAGAGGGCUUUCGGGCUCUCGCGCAAAGAGUGGCCUAAGUGAGAUUAGCUUGUUGGUGAGGUAAAGGCUCACCAAGGCGACGAUCUCUAGCUGUUCUGAGAGGAAGAUCAGCCACACUGGGACUGAGACACGGCCCAGACUCCUACGGGAGGCAGCAGUGGGGAAUAUUGCACAAUGGGGGCAACCCUGAUGCAGCCAUGCCGCGUGUGUGAAGAAGGCCUUCGGGUUGUAAAGCACUUUCAGUUGUGAGGAAAGGUUGGUGGUUAAUACCCAUCAGCUGUGACGUUAGCAACAGAAGAAGCACCGGCUAACUCCGUGCCAGCAGCCGCGGUAAUACGGAGGGUGCGAGCGUUAAUCGGAAUUACUGGGCGUAAAGCGCACGCAGGCGGUUAUAUAAGCUAGAUGUGAAAGCCCCGGGCUCAACCUGGGAAUAGCAUUUAGAACUGUAUGACUAGAGUCUUGGAGAGGGGGGUGGAAUUCCAGGUGUAGCGGUG
rnacentral:rRNA from 1 species